AUUGAACGCUGGCGGCAUGCUUUACACAUGCAAGUCGAACGGUAACAGGGUGCUUGCACCGCUGACGAGUGGCGAACGGGUGAGUAAUGCAUCGGAAUGUACCGUGUAAUGGGGGAUAGCUCGGCGAAAGCCGGAUUAAUACCGCAUACGCCCUGAGGGGGAAGUGGGGGACCGAAAGGCCUCACGUUAUACGAGCAGCCGAUGUCUGAUUAGCUAGUUGGUGAGGUAAAGGCUCACCAAGGCGUCGAUCAGUAGCGGGUCUGAGAGGAUGAUCCGCCACACUGGGACUGAGACACGGCCCAGACUCCUACGGAGGCAGCAGUGGGGAAUUUUGGACAAUGGGCGCAAGCCUGAUCCAGCCAUGCCGCGUGUC
rnacentral:rRNA from 1 species